rnacentral:rRNA from 1 species
UGGGGAAUAUUGCACAAUGGGCGAAAGCCUGAUGCAGCGACGCCGCGUGAGGGACGAAGGCCUUCGGGUUGUAAACCUCUUUCAGCAGGGAAGAAGCGAAAGUGACGGUACCUGCAGAAGAAGCACCGGCUAACUACGUGCCAGCAGCCGCGGUAAUACGUAGGGUGCAAGCGUUGUCCGGAAUUAUUGGGCGUAAAGAGCUCGUAGGCGGUUUGUCGCGUCUGCUGUGAAAACUCAGGGCUUAACCCUGAGCCUGCAGUGGGUACGGGCAGACUAGAGUGUGGUAGGGGAGAUCGGAAUUCCUGGUGUAGCGGUGGAAUGCGCAGAUAUCAGGAGGAACACCGGUGGCGAAGGCGGAUCUCUGGGCCAUAACUGACGCUGAGGAGCGAAAGCAUGGGGAGCGAACA